UCUUAUUUCAUUAGAAAGAAGGAAUCAUCCACGUUACACUUUUAUUAGUCACAUACACAUACACCGAAUGCUCUAUUCCAUAUAACCGAAAUAGUAUAGAUUAUAUAACAUAAUCUACAAUCUGUAAUACUAAACAUAUCUCAACCCCAAACCCUAGAUACUAAACCUUAUUCUAAUCACACCUUAACCCCUAAAUACUAAAUCAUAAACUCUAAUCAAUAAAUCCUAAACCCAAAUAUAAAUAAUAAAUCUAAAUUUUAAACCAAAAUCCAAAUAAAAUAGAAAAAACUAAAUAACAUAAUAUAUAUUGAAGAAAUUAUGAAAUGUCUAUAAUUGCAUUGAAGAAAUUAAUGUUAACCUCAAACAUACCCCGUCACCUUCUAAAUGCUAAACCCUAAACCCGAAUUACUAAACCCUUACGUAAAUAUAAAACCUAAACUAAAACAUAAACCCUAAACCCAAAUAGAAUGAAACAAAAUAAAUAACAUAGUACAUAUUGGUGAAAAUAUGAAAUGUCUAUGAUUUUAUGGAAGAGGUUAAUAUUGAUCCCAACCAUACCUCCUCACCUUCUAAAUAAUAAACCCUAAACCCUAUACUCUAAUCACUAAACGUUAACCGAAAUAUCAAAAUCUAAACCUUAACCAGUGUUUAACCCCAAUUUUCCAUAAACUAAACUCAAAUUUUAAAAUGACAGUAAAAUACAUUACCAUUCUACAUGAGUCAUAUAGAAUAGAAAUAGAGAAAAUGUAGUUCCAAUACUAAAUCCUCAACUCUAAUCAGUGAACCCUAAACUUUAUCCCAACCCCACCCCAUCCCCUAAAAUACUAAACCCUAAACACUAAUCAGCGAACCUAAACCCAAAUAUAAACCAUAAAUCCAAAUAUAAACCCUAAACCCAAAUAGAAUGGAACAACUAUGAACCCAAAUAUCAAAAUCUAAACCUUAACCAGUGUUUAACCCUAAUUUUCCAUAAACUAAACUCAAAUUUUAAAAUGCCAGUAAAAUACAUUACCAUUCUACAUGAGUCAUAUAGAAUAGAAAUAGAGAAAAUGUAGUUCCAAUACUAAAUCCUCAACUCUAAUCAGUGAACCCUAAACUUUAUCCCAACCCCACCCCAUCCCCUAAAAUACUAAACCCUAAACACUAAUCAGCGAACCUAAACCCAAAUAUAAACCAUAAAUCCAAAUAUAAACCCUAAACCCAAAUAGAAUGGAACAAAUUAAAUAGAAUAGUACAUACUGGUGAAAUUAUGAAAUAUCUAUGAUUGCAUGAAAGAAGUUAAUAAUGACUCCAACCAUAACCCCUCACCUUCUAAUUAGUAAACCCUAAACUAUAAUCACUAAACCCUAAACGCAAAUAUCAAAAUAUAAAAAUGUAUGCAAUAUUAUGCAAUAUUAAAUCAUAUUAUAUAAUAUUAAACUAUACAAUAUAAAUCAUAGUACGGUUUUAGGGCUUAUUUGCCAACUAGCCAUAUUUAGAAGAGAAAUUAAGUGAGUGACAUUGAUUUUGACAUAAUAUAGAAACUAACAUUUACACCCUAAUUCAUCCGGUUAUACCCUUCCUCUUUGCCAUUAUCCGGUAAUAAUGUGUUCUGUGUGUCCACGUAGUCUUAUUUCAUUAGAAAGAAGGAAUCAUCCACGUUACACUUUUAUUAGUCACAUACACAUACACCGAAUGCUCUAUUCCAUAUAACCGAAAUAGUAUAGAUUAUAUAACAUAAUCUACAAUCUGUAAUACUAAACAUAUCCCAACCCCAAACCCUAGAUACUAAACCUUAUUCUAAUCACACCUUAACCCCUAAAUACUAAAUCAUAAACUCUAAUCAAUAAAUCCUAAACCCAAAUAUAAAUAAUAAAUCUAAAUUUUAAACCAAAAUCCAAAUAAAAUAGAAAAAACUAAAUAACAUAAUACAUAUUGAAGAAAUUAUGAAAUGUCUAUAAUUGCAUUGAAGAAAUUAAUGUUAACCUCAAACAUACCCCGUCACCUUCUAAAUGCUAAACCCUAAACCCGAAUUACUAAACCCUUACGUAAAUAUAAACCCUAAACUAAAACAUAAACCCUAAACCCAAAUAGAAUGAAACAAAAUAAAUAACAUAGUACAUAUUGGUGAAAAUAUGAAAUGUCUAUGAUUUUAUGGAAGAGGUUAAUAUUGAUCCCAACCAUACCUCCUCACCUUCUAAAUAAUAAACCCUAAACCCUAUACUCUAAUCACUAAACGUUAACCCAAAUAUCAAAAUCUAAACCUUAACCAGUGUUUAACCCCAAUUUUCCAUAAACUAAACUCAAAUUUUAAAAUGCCAGUAAAAUACAUUACCAUUCUACAUGAGUCAUAUAGAAUAGAAAUAGAGAAAAUGUAGUUCCAAUACUAAAUCCUCAACUCUAAUCAGUGAACCCUAAACUUUAUCCCAACCCCACCCCAUCCCCUAAAAUACUAAACCCUAAACACUAAUCAGCGAACCUAAACCCAAAUAUAAACCAUAAAUCCAAAUAUAAACCCUAAACCCAAAUAGAAUGGAACAAAUAUGAACCCAAAUAUCAAAAUCUAAACCUUAACCAGUGUUUAACCCCAAUUUUCCAUAAACUAAACUCAAAUUUUAAAAUGCCAGUAAAAUACA
rnacentral:lncRNA from 1 species